GGUCAUGCGGGGCCCUGGCCCCCAGGCCAGCAGCUGGGGCCUUUUCGAGGUGGGGGCUCCCUGGACUCAGGGUCCUCCUUGGCCGCGGCUGUAGCUGAGAGAAGGGACAGGAGGUAGGAUGCCACCUCCUCCAGAAGCAGCGGCGACCAGGUUGUGUGGAAAUUCACUGGGCCUGAUGGAGCUGGAUGGAGAUGGAUGCAGCCUUGGAAAUUCUCCCUUUCCCUUUGGGUCCUUUGGGCUCCCCCAGCAGGCCCCCCAGUCCUGGGUGCAGGCUUGUGAGAGCUGCUCAGGGAUUGAAACGUGGCACCUGAGCUCUCUCUGCGAUGUGUUCCACAGUUCCCUGGAGGAGGACGCUGCGUGAGGGUCAG
rnacentral:sRNA from 1 species